GAGAGCGGCACUGCCACCGCCUGCCGGCUGCAGGUAACACCGGGGUUGCGACACAAAAGUAAUUGAAUGUGAGUGUAACGAGCUUGUGCAAUGGUGUGGAGAGGUUAAUGCAAUCGUCCUCAGGAGCUGUGAGUGAGUCACCCCCAGAAUCGGCUGCAUCUCACCUCAGGGUGGCGGGGCGGGGGCUGAGGGCUCCAUCCACUGAGACCCUAAGACCCCCUCAGUUCUCGGACACAGCUUGGAAACCCCCCCGCGUCCCAAGGCAGUGGGUCCUUCCUUUAUCUAAAAGCUGACAGAGAAAAAAGAUUUCUCCAAACUUGAAUCUCUCUGUUUUGGUUACCCCGAUGUUUAUGAGUGUCAUUUCAACAGUGAAGAACUGAAGGAAACUCAACACCUACAGCCUGGAAAAGCUCUAUCUCUUGUCUUCAAAAGAUUCAAAAAGCAUCCUGCUGUUCCAAAUGGCCUCCUGUACUUCUGUGCUUCACUCCCCACAUUCAAAGCUCUCCUGCUGCUCCAUGAAGACUGAUGGACAAUCCCUACUAAGGCCUCCAGCAGCCUGUACUGCUUCUCUCCAGCACUGCACACUUUUCUGGGAUUUACAUGAACAUACACAUCUUUGUAUUUCUGCUGCACAGUCA